AUGUGGAGGCUAUAUACAGGGGGUACCGGUACAGAGUCAAUGUGGAGGCUAUAUACAGGGGGUACCGGUACAGAGUCAAUGUGGAGGCUAUAUACAGGGGGUACCAGUACAGAGUCAAUGUGGAGGCUAUAUACAGGGGGUACCGGUACAGAGUCAAUGUGGAGGCUAUAUACAGGGGGUACCGGUACAGAGUCAAUGUGGAGGCUAUAUACAGGGGGUACCAGUACAGAGUCAAUGUGGAGGCUAUAUACAGGGGGUACCGGUACAGAGUCAAUGUGGAGGCUAUAUACAGGGGGUACCGGUACAGAGUCAAUGGGGAGGCUAUAUACAGGGGGUACCGGUACAGAGUCAAUGGGGAGGCUAUAUACAGGGGGUCCCGGUACAGAGUCAAUGGGGAGGCUAUAUACAGGGGGUACCGGUACAGAGUCAAUGGGGAGGCUAUAUACAGGGGGUACCGGUACAGAGUCAAUGUGGAGACUAUAUACAGGGGGUACCGGUACAGAGUCAAUGUGGAGACUAUAUACAGGGGGUACCGGUACAGAGUCAAUGGGGAGGCUAUAUACAGGGGGUACCGGUACAGAGAGAAUGUGGAGGCUAUAUACAGGGUAUUACGGUACAGAGUCAAAGUGGAGGUUAUAUACAGGGUAUUACGGUACAGAGUCAAUGUGGAGGCUAUAUACAGGGUAUUACGGUACAGAGUCAAUGUGGAGGCUAUAUACAGGGUAUUACGGUACAGAGUCAAUGUGGAGGCUAUAUACAGGGUAUUACGGUACAGAGUCAAUGUGGAGGCUAUAUACAGGGUAUUACGGUACAGAGUCAAUGUGGAGGCUAUAUACAGGGGGUACUGGUACAGAGUCAAUGUGGAGGCUAUAUACAGGGGGUACCAGUACAGAGUCAAUGUGGAGGCUAUAUAUAGGGGGUACCGGUACAGAGUCAAUGUGGAGGCUAUAUACAGGGUGUUACUGGUACAGAGUCAAUGUGGAGGCUAUAUACAGGGGUUACCGGUACAGAGAGAAUGUGGAGGCUAUAUACAGGGGGUACCGGUACAGAGUGAAUGUGGAGGCUAUAUACAGGGGGUACCGGUACAGAGUCAAUGUGGAGGCUAUAAAC
rnacentral:lncRNA from 1 species